rnacentral:tRNA from 3 species
GCGGGAAUAGCUCAGUUGGUAGAGCGCGACCUUGCCAAGGUCGAGGCCGCGGGUUCGAAUCCCGUUUCCCGCU